UACGUAGGUGGCAAGCGUUGUCCGGAAUCACUGGGCGUAAAGCGCGCGCAGGCGGCGAUCUACGUCUGGGGUGAAAGCCCGGAGCCUCAACUCCGGGACUGCCUUGGAUACGGGAUCGCUUGAGGAUUGGAGAGGCAAGGGGAAUUCCACGUGUAGCGGUGAAAUGCGUAGAGAUGUGGAGGAACACCUGUGGCGAAGGCGCCUUGCUGGCCAAUUUCUGACGCUGAGGCGCGAAAGCGUGGGGGAGCAAACAGG
rnacentral:rRNA from 1 species